rnacentral:tRNA from 1 species
AAUGACAUGUCUGAUAAAGAUUUAUUCUGAUAGAGUAAGAUAUGUAUAGUUACUGUCAUUU